rnacentral:rRNA from 1 species
UACGUAGGGUGCAAGCGUUUGUCCGGAAUUAUUGGGCGUAAAGAGCUCGUAGGCGGUUCGUCGCGUCGGCUGUGAAAACCCGGAGCUCAACUCCGGGCCUGCAGUCGAUACGGGCGGACUCGAGUUCGGCAGGGGAGACUGGAAUUCCUGGUGUAGCGGUGAAAUGCGCAGAUAUCAGGAGGAACACCGGUGGCGAAAGCGGCGCACUGGACCAUAACUGACGCUGAUGCGCGAAAGCGUGGGGAGCAAACAUGG